GACGGAGGGUGCAAGCGUUGUUCGGAAUUACUGGGCGUAAAGGGCGCGUAGGCGGUCUGUUAAGUUCGGUGUGAAAGCCCCCGGCUCACCUGGGGAACUGCGCCGGAAACCGACAGACUCGAGUACCGGAGAGGAGGGUGGAAUUCCUGGUGUAGCGGUGAAAUGCGUAGAUAUCAGGAGGAACACCGGUGGCGAAGGCGGUUCUCUGGGCCUUACCUGACGCUGAGGAGCGAAAGCGUGGGGAGCGAACAGG
rnacentral:rRNA from 1 species